UACGAAGGUGGCGAGCGUUGUUCGGAAUCACUGGGCAUAAAGCGCACGUAGGCGGCGAUGUAAGUCGGGUGUGAAAUCCCUCGGCCCAACCGAGGAACUGCGCCCGAUACUGCGCUGCUUGAGGGUCAAAGGGGUGCAUGGAAUUCCCGGUGGAGCGGUGAAAUGCGUUGAUAUCGGGAGGAACGCCGGCGGCGAAAGCGGUGCACUGGUUGACUUCUGACGCUGAUGUGCGAAAGCCAGGGGAGCAAACGGG
rnacentral:rRNA from 1 species